rnacentral:rRNA from 1 species
GAUGAACGCUGGCGGCGUGCUUAACACAUGCAAGUCGAACGGGAGACCUUUUAUUGAAGCUUCGGCAGAUUUAGCUGGUUUCUAGUGGCGGACGGGUGAGUAACGCGUGGGUAACCUGCCCUAUACAGGGGGAUAACAACCAGAAAUGGUUGCUAAUACCGCAUAAGCGCACAGGACCGCAUGGUCCGGUGUGAAAAACUCCGGUGGUAUAGGAUGGACCCGCGUUGGAUUAGCCAGUUGGCAGGGUAACGGCCUACCAAAGCGGCGAUCCAUAGCCGGCCUGAGAGGGUGAACGGCCACAUUGGGACUGAGACACGGCCCAGACUCCUACGGGAGGCAGCAGUGGGGAAUAUUGCACAAUGGGGGAAACCCUGAUGCAGCGACGCCGCGUGAAGGAAGAAGUAUCUCGGUAUGUAAACUUCUAUCAGCAGGGAAGAUAGUGACGGUACCUGACUAAGAAGCCCCGGCUAACUACGUGCCAGCAGCCGCCGUAAAAC